rnacentral:tRNA from 1 species
AGGCAUGUAGCUCAGCUGGUUAGAGCAUCACCUUGACAUGGUGGGGGUCGUUGGUUCGAGUCCAAUCAUGCCUACCA